rnacentral:rRNA from 1 species
CGCUGGCGGCGUGCCUAAUACAUGCAAGUCGAACGCACUCUCGUUUAGAUUGAAGGAGCUUGCCCCUGAUUGAUAACAUUUGAGUGAGUGGCGGACGGGUGAGUAACACGUGGGUAACCUGCCCUAAAGUGGGGGAUAACAUUUGGAAACAGAUGCUAAUACCGCAUAAAACCUAACACCGCAUGGUGUAGGGUUGAAAGAUGGUUUCGGCUAUCACUUUAGGAUGGACCCGCGGUGCAUUAGUUAGUUGGUGAGGUAAAGGCUCACCAAGACCGUGAUGCAUAGCCGACCUGAGAGGGUAAUCGGCCACACUGGGACUGAGACACGGCCCAGACUCCUACGGGAGGCAGCAGUAGGGAAUCCUCCACAAUGGACGAAAGUCUGAUGGAGCAACGCCGCGUGAGUGAAGAAGGUUUUCGGAUCGUAAAACUCUGUUGUUGGAGAAGAAUGUAUCUGAUAGUAACUGAUCAGGUAGUGACGGUAUCCAACCAGAAAGCCACGGCUAACUACGUG